rnacentral:lncRNA from 10 species
GGGAGCUAAGUGGUUGCUGCCCUUGACCACUGUGAAGACUGGUGUGGGAAGGGUCGUUUUGGAUGCACUUGAGCAGGGGUCCCCAACCCCUGAGCCAUGGAGCCGCAAGGAGCCACACAGCAGGAGGUGAGCGGUGUCGAGUGAGGGAGUGAGGGAAGCUUCGUCUGUAUUUACAGCCACUCCCCUUUGCUCACAUUCCCACCUGAGCUCCACCUUCUCAGAUGAGCAGCAGCGUUAGAUUCUCAUAGGAGAACGCACCCUGUUGUGAACCGUGCAUGUGAGGGAUCUAGGUUGCGCUGUCCUUAUGAGAGUCUAAUACCUAUUGAUCUGUCACUUUCUCCCAUCACGCUCAGGUGGGAACAUCCAGUUGCAGGAAAACAAGCUUAACACGCCCACUGAUUCUACAUUAUGGGUCUCCCUCUGUUGUCCAAGGCUGGAGUGUAGUAGUGCUAUCGCAGCUGACUGCAGCCUCAACCUUCCAGGCUGAAGCGAUCCUCCCACCUCAACCUCCCACGUGGCUGAGACUACAGGUGCUUGCCACUAUGCCCAACUAAUAUUUGGAAUUUUCGUAUACGUGGAUUCCAGAGGGGUGACAGCAAAACGUGGGAACAUCCAGUUGCAGGAAAACAAGCUUAACACGCCCACUGAUUCUACAUUAUGCUCCUACCUCCCGGCAGCCUCUCCAGGCCGAGAACUUUCUCCAGUCAGCCUCUACAGACC